rnacentral:rRNA from 1 species
UUUUGACCUCAAAUCAGGUAGGAGGACCCGCUGAAUUUAAGCAUAUUAAUAAGCGGAGGAAAAGAAACUAACAAGGAUUCCCCUAGUAACGGC